GUCACUGUAACUCAGCGGAUAGAGUGCCUGCCUCCGAAGCAGGUGGUCGUCGGUUCAAUUCCGAUCAGUGACG
rnacentral:tRNA from 1 species